GCCAUUAUGGGAGCAAAAAAUAUGAAACCUGUUGCCAAACCUGAUACACCUGUGGGGGGAGAUGUUUAUCCUAUAGAGCCACCAGAUGGUUUUACAGUCAAUCACGUACUUGAUGCUCACUGGGGUGUCCUCAAUGAACAAGAUACUAGUGGAAUUCGAUCACACACUUUAUCCAUGCUUUUGAACGA